rnacentral:rRNA from 1 species
AUUGAACGCUGGCGGCAGGCCUAACACAUGCAAGUCGAACGAGUGGCGGACGGGUGAGUAAUGUCUGGGAAACUGCCUGAUGGAGGGGGAUAACUACUGGAAAUGGUAGCUAAUACCGCAUACCAUCGGAUGUGCCCAGAUGGGAUUAGCUAGUUGGUGGGGUAAAGGUUCACCUAGGCGACGAUCCCGAGCUGGUCUGAGAGGAUGACCAGCCACACUGAAACUGGGACGCGGUCCAGACUCCUACGGGAGUCAGCAGUGGGGAAUAUUGCGCAAUGGGCGCAAGCCUGAUGCAGCCAUGCCGCGUGUAUGAAGAAGGCCUUAGGGUUGUAAAGUACUUACAGCGGGGAGGCGUUACCCGCAGAAGAAGCACCGGCUAACUCCGUGCCAGCAGCCGCGGUAAUUC